rnacentral:lncRNA from 1 species
GGAAGUUGAAGUCCGGGAGGCGGGCGCGGAGAGCUGUGUUAAGGCCUGGUGCUUCAUUUAGCUGGAACUCCUUUGAAGUUGAGGUAUACACUCGCCAGCCCUUUCUCCUCAGGAAAUCUGGAGGAAACCCAUCUGAAGCUACGGAUUUAGCAGCAAAAUCUCCCCGUUUACGGUGUUGAAUCUCAAAUUGCUGAUAAAUGUUUCUUGGGUCCAAAGGUUGCGGUUUUAAAUCAGAUAUACGGGUGCAGAAACAGCAUGUUUUCAUAUCCUCUUCCUUGGAGUUUAUGUAAGCUUCCCUGAAAGCCAAUAUGAGUGUGGAUUUAUUAAGAAUUGGCUAAUUAAAACGAGCGAGAAAAAAAAAAGGAAAUGUUUGCGCCCAUUUUCUUAAUCCAGAAACGCAGCGGUGAUUCAUAUGUUAGGUUCCCAGCUGACGCAAUCUUUCCAUGUUGUUUGAGAUCUUGAAUUGAUUUCAAAGAUAUAGAGGAUAUGGGAAAAAAAAAAAGCAAAAGAAAAACAAAACAAGGUGAAGUUGGAGGUAGAGCACACACAUACCCUUUAUGCUUCCCUUUUCUCUCAACCACGUAGUAUUGAUUGGAAGAUAAUGGCUGAUUGAGAACAGGAGUGAAAAGAACACGGUUCGUAUGAACGUGUUGAUUCUCCCCAGUUUGCUGCGUAUACGUAACCAUCAAGUUCUUGUUUUGAGGAAAAGGCAGGCCCCAGCUUACUCGAUCACUCUUGAACAAUCCACAACAGAAGGUAGGCACUGCAACUUCUUCAUCCUGGAUUACCAAUACACCAGAAUUUGGACCCUCGGGAGGCGGUGAUGAAAGAGCUGAAGGAUCUCUUAGAUACAUCGAAAGAGGCCUUGUCACAUACAUUUCCUCUCAAACUUUUCUCUGCGUAUAGUGACCAAGCAAAAAUUCUUUAUCUUAUCCUUAAUUUCAAAUGUUGUUUUAGGAGUCAAAUCAUAAUUUGUCAAACUAUGGAGAAUUAAAAUGUAAUUUUUAUAUAUCAGGACCAAACUGAAAUUUUAUAAUUUUCAACCGUGAAACUACUUUAUCUAGAAUUUCUAGCAAAGAUUGUUCCAAAUUUCUUAGCCAUUCUUGCCCAUGACACAUCAAAGAAACAAAUCAACCUCAUGUUAUUAUCCCUAACAAAAUCAUUCAAAAUCAAUUAAUUUCAACAUUAACCCAUAUUAAUCAUCAAUUAUUGAAACUUAAAAACAUAAAUUUCAAAUAUUUAGAAACAUUAACACGUUAAAAAAAAAAAUGUAAUGAGCAACAAAAACAAAAAUCAUGUAUAUCAAAUUACGAUCUCAACACAAAAACGUAAUUUAUCCAUCACUCAUGAUCCUUUUUUUCUUUUCCUUCCUCCUCUUUUUCUUUUGGUUUUCUCCGUUUCUGGUUUCUUCUUCUUUUUUCUUUUUUUAUCUCUCUCUAUAUAUCAAUCUAUGUGAAACGACUGACGUGUCCCCAACCAUUACCAACCACAUAAGGUUGUUCAAAUCGCGAUUUUAACACGGCACGGAAAAUACAAAACAAACUCGGAUCGUAAAAACAGAUCGUAAAAUCGUAAGGAAUUUUAAAAUAUAUUAACAAAAAAUUCAUGAUUCAAAUAAAAAUUCAUACAUAUACUAUACAAUUAAUUUUUUCGUAAAAUCAUUCUAUCAUUCCAUUAAUAAAAUCAAUUUCAUCAUUCCAUCAUAUACUAAAAUAGCAUCUUAAAACCAUUCCAUCAUUCCACAAUGCCAUACAGACACAACUAAUUCAAUCCAAUCCAAUCCAAUAGUCCACAGUAUACUGUUCCAUCAAUUCCAUUUAAUUCAUUCCAUCAAUUCAAGGGACAGAAAAACAUUAUAAAUGGACAAAUUACAGGACCGGCAAAAUCAUUCCAUCAAAAAUGUAUAAACGCCUGAAGCAGAAAAAUUAUUUGAUUAACAAUUGUAGCUAUGAAUUCCAGCAAGGUUCAUACAACAUCUACUCUCCAUUAUGCUAAACUUCUCAAGAAAAGAAAAUUAUGACUAUAUAUGAAGGGUUAGCACUACAACUCAAAGAAUCUUGUAGAUAAAAGAAGAUGGAAAGCCUAAAGAAUGAACGAGCAGUACAAAUAAAAAAGUAUAUUAGUACUUGAUAUCAGGAUUUUAGACUAAUAAUUUGUCAUGAUCUACAUAAGUUUGCAGUAACAGUUUCUUCUAGGGAGAAGAAUCUGAUAGCCUGUCACAAAGACAUUUGCAAUGUAUCAUCAAGCAUUCCCCAGUUCUUUUGUCGUCACAGAUUCUUCACAACUUGUCACUGCAUCACUUUUCAUCAAACCGACAGUCCACGUAUCAAAAUUUUGAAUACAUCCUAGGAAACAAAAUUCAUCCCAGAGUUAAGGUCAAUACAAUAGCUAGGCAAAAUGGAACACGUUACAAUCUAACUUUGAUUUUGAUCCAAAUUUUCAUGGAAGUGAACAAAGUGGAAAAUUAAAGAUAAAUGGUUGUACCUUGAUUGCAUUAGUGCUCUCUAGUUCAGUGAUUUUACCAUCUUCUUCAUGAUUUUCAUGUAGUGGCUCUUCGUUUGCAGGCAUUAUAAUUUAUUUUUAUUUUUUUGAUUUACGUGGGUAUCCGGGCCAGCUUGCGCGCACCACGACUAAUUUCACGGCUCGCUGAACAUCCUGCAAACCCAGUGAGCAUGUAAGGCACUGCGGGAGUGACAGGCGUACACGCUGAGGCUUGAACCCAGGAUGCAGAGGUAAGGAAACUCCUUGCCACCGCUGGGCUACAAGCCUCGGUGUCAGGCAUUAUAAUUUCAUUCCACCACUGGUUGAUCUUCGUCAUGUUGUUCCUCAUUUUCUUCAGCCACUAUUAUUAAACACCAAUUCCAAAAUUUUCAUUAUAAUUAGACCCAAUUAUCUUAAAGAACAAUUAAAAUUACACUACAAGAUUUAACAGUUUUACCGAUGAAAUUUUUCCGUCGGCGUAAUUAAGACACAUAUUCCAUCGGUAAUUAAUUUACCGACGAAAUCACCGACGAAAAUUCUCCGUCGGUGAAUUUUUGUCCGUCGGUAAAUCCGUUGGUAAUAAAAAAAAUAUUAUUACCGAUGGAUUUACUGGCGGAAUAGACGCGUCAGUAAAAAUAUUUUUUUAUUACCGACGGAAAGUUCCGUCGGUAUUAUUUAAAAACAUUUUAAAAAAAAUUCAUUUUAUAAAAUUAUAAAAUAAUUAAAUUAACAUAAAUCAACAUUGCAUAAUAUAUACUCAAAAUGCUUGGGAAAAAAAAAGAAUAAGAAAAUCAACUCAAACAAAUUUGCAACAAAUAAAUAAAACAAAAGAAUUAGUUCAACUAAAAAAAAUCAUAUGAAAAAAAUGAAGUUCCAAUUGCUAAAAAUUUAAAAAUCCUAUAAAUAAAUCAACUAAAAAUUGAUCUCAUAUGAAAAAAAAAAUUCACAACAACAUCUAUACAAUUAUGAAGAACAAAAUCAAUUAAAAAUAAAAUAAAAAAACAAAUAUAGUGAAAACAAUCAUGAAAAAAUAAGAAAAAAGAAAAAUAUUACCUUAAUGUACUUGCAAGUGAAGCUAAGGAAUUUUUUUUUGUAAAGCAUAUUAAUUAAAAAAGAAACUAAGAGGAUAAAAGAAGAAAGAAGAAGAAGACAUACCCGAGCAUGGAGGAAAAGAGAAGGAGAUGAGGAGAGAAAAGAAGAAAAAAAAUAAAUAUUGAUGUUUUUUACAUAUAGUGAAGAAGAAGAAGUAGAAGAAGAAGAAGAAGAAAUAAUGAGUCUGUCUCUUGUGAAAUAAGCGGAGUCAGGUUUUUUAUUGGGGCGCGUUACCGACGGAUUUACCGAAGAAUAAUUGAAUAUUAAUAUUUUUUAAUUAUUCCAUCUGUAAUUUCGUAAAAAGUUUUCAGAAACCGUCAAAAAUUACUGACGAUUUUUCAAUCCGUCGGUGAUUCCGUCUGUAAUAUUUAAAUGAAAAUUUUAAAUCAAUUGAAUUUUUUCAGAAAACCGUCAAAUAACACCCACGUAUUUUCAAUCCGUCGGUGAUUUUGUCCGUAAAGAACAACACUUAACAGUGCAAUUGGAAGGUGAACAGUUCUGGAGCUCUCUGGAAAAUACCGACAGCAAAUUCCGUCGAUAAUUCCCUUUGUAAUUGACAUGAUGAACAAUAUUCACAGUUUACCAACGGAUUUACCAAAUUACCGACGGAAAAAAUUUCGUCGUGUCGGUAAUUCUGUUGGUAAAAAAUGACACGUUAUCAUUUUUUUUGCUUUGUUUUAAUUUUUUUUCCCACGGUAAUUCCCUCGGUAUUUCCAUUUGUAUUUAUUGAUUUUCUGGUAGUGUUAACCCAAGAAUCCAAAAAAGUAAAAAAAAAUUAAUAAUAAUAAUAAUAAAAAAAACCACAUAUCUGCUUCUCUAUAAGUAUUUUAGAAAACCAUUUUAAUACUUCGGUGUGAGCUUUACAACCAUCAAGCCUUAGACUGUUGAAGCAGUAAAUGGAGGGACAAUGAUUUGUUCUUCUCCACGUAAGGAUUUCAGGUCGACGAUGCAGGGAGUAAAAACCAGAGGCGAAAAAGAAAAAACAAAGCUUGGGAAUAAAUUCUUACCUUAUUCUCGAUAGCAAGCAAAACAAGAGGCACUGAGAGAGUGGAGAGUGAAAAGUGGAGAUUGGGGAUAAUUAGAUUCAGAAUUUCAAAUCUUAAAUAUUUAGCAGACAAUUAGUAAAAAUGGAGAGUAAAGAGUACUGCGAACAGGGAAAGGGAGGGGGUGGGGAAGGGAAAGGGGAAACUGGGGAAGGGGAAAGGGCAACGGGAAAGGGUGGAGGCGCUGCAACUGUUUUAUAUUUCACGUGAAAUCGUGAAAUCGGUUCGUGUUUAAUGUUUUUUCCGAGUUAGACUGAUUUUAUACAAGUUUGACCGGGUUUGACCGAUUUUACUGGUUUUCAAGUUUUAAAUCCGAUUUUGCACGUUUUAUAUGUUUUGACUCGUAAAAUGGUAUGAUUUUACGAGUUAAAACGUGAUUUUGAUAAUCUUGCAACCACAGCCAUGCACAUAAGGGCAAUACCGUCUGUUUAUCCAAACUUACAUAAGCAUGCAUGAUUAAUAAGAAACUGGUCCCUAGUUAACUUCCAUAAAUGAUGAAGCUUUUCAGACACGAAGAUUCGUGAGAUUUUCAUAAACAUUUGAAGACAUGAUGGAGCUCGUUAAUUUCUGGAUAUCAAGUAGCUCAAAAAUUCUGUUCGGGGAGUUGAAACAAAACGGCAAUCUUCCAUGCAAGUCAGAAAAGGUAUAGCGGUUAACAAAAAAACUGAUGCUUAUAGCUACAUGAACCAAUCAAAACUUUUAAGGAGCAUAAAAGACUGUUCAAUCAUUCUCAGAUUGGCCUCAUAUUCCGACAUCUAUCAUGCAUGUAUAAUGUAUCGAGAGAGACCGAAGAGUUAGUAUUGUCAAUUAAAACCUAUUAUGAGGUUUGAUGCAAGCUUUGUGUCUGUCAAGAGCUUACAUUCAGCAGAACUAGACAUGCUAUUUGUGAAAGAUUGAACCUGCAGAGUUAGCUGUUGGAUAGUUUCCUUUCACUGUUUGAUUUAUUAUUUUUUUGUAAGGUCCUUUGGCCUUCAAUUUUUGGAUGUUGCAGAUAAUUUUGUUUUCACAUCAGUCCAAUCACUGAAAAUUGAUUCAUUCCUUGAAAUGAUAAUUCUCAAUUCUCUAUAAAGGAUCUAGUCCAUUUCCUCUUCCUUCCUUCCCUUUUCCUUGCCGAAAUCAUGUUUUUGUUAUUAGGCAUGGGAUGUUUCUUAAAGCAUUAUUUAUCCCAUUGUCUCAAUCUUCUCGUGUAUAUAUAGAGAGAUAAGGAAGAUAUCAAUCUGAAAAGUCAAUAGCACAGACAAUUUAGACAAGUAAUAAGAAUCCUACAAGAGGAAAAGUAGAUCAAAAGGUUCUGCAAUGUUGAUACUUGGUCAAACCGGUUGAUUUGUUAUAUUUAGUUUUAAAAAUGUACAAUAUUUGUCGCCAACAGUGCAGCUUUGGAUUUUGGAAUAUUGAUUCUUCCAGCCAAAAAUACUAGGUUAUCUUAUUAGCUUAAUCGUUAUCUUAUUAGUGGGGGCAGAGGAAGAAUAUUUAUGAUCAUCCGUGCCCAAUCGUUAUCUUAUUAGCUUUGAAAUCCGUGUCAUUGUGCAAUUUUAAUCAAUUUAUUAGCUCAACCUAUAAUUUCAAAAUAGUUUAUUCACUGCAAUCGCUUGAAUUUAUAAAAAAAAAAAAAAAAAAAAAACAUCAAGGCAGACCAAAGGGUUUUUUUGGUGUGCAGUAAUGCAGUUUGUAAUGUUUUUCAAAGACAUUUUUUAUAUCUUUUAAUUUUUAACCUUAACACGUCAAAUUAAUUAAAAAUAUUAAAUAAAUAUUUUUAAAAUAAAAAUAAUUUAAAAAACUACUACAACCACGGUAUCAUAGAUAGGCUAACACUACACAUCUUAUAACUGAAAUGGUACCACGUGUAACAUAUGAAUACAGCAAAAGAGAGGAAAAACAUAAAACAUUCUCAUUCUUCCCAGUACAUUAAAUCCCUCAACCAACACAUAGCAUCCAGAUUUCCUCUCUCUACCAAUCCCACUUGCUCACAAAUUGUUAAAAAUAAAACCAUCUGCUCCUUGUUUUUUUUAUUUAUAUAUAAUUCUAAUUGAUUAAAAAAAGUAAAAACGAGGCAUAUAUAAUUUUAUAAUUCCCAUCCGCUUCUAAUGCGAUGAGGAUGCCUGAAAUCAUAGGUCAGCAAUAAGCUUCCAUCCAUUCUCUUCAAGGCAAACCUCUCAACCAAAACAUAGCAACCAAAUCUCCUCCACUUCCCCUUGCCAUCAAAAACCUCUUCUCUCUUCACCCUCACCUCCCUUUCAUCCCCGCUAGCACCCCCUACUCCUUGCACCCACUUCAUUCCCUCCACAAUCUCCAUUCUCAGUCCCACACUUGCUUCUGAUCCUGUCACUCUGUUGAAACUCCUGAACCACGUCACCCCAUCAACAACAUCCCUUUGGUCCGCCACAGCUUCUGUCCCACCAACUGUAACAACUUCACAUUCAACAGCAACAUCCACAGUUACAGUAUUGCCUUCAUUAUACAUAUCUUCACAAGCAAAGAUUUGCUCCCAUUGUUGCUCGAGUGUCAUCUCAUAAUAGGUUGAAUGUUUCAUUUGAUCUUUAAGAGCUGUCCCUUCCUUGAUAAACAUGAAAGGGCAAUACCACUUCCCCGCUACUACAGGCGGGGAACAUUUUUGUGACACUGGGAAGUUGAAGUCCGGGAGGCGGGCGCGGAGAGCUGUGUUAAGGCCUGGUGCUUCAUUUAGCUGGAACUCCUUUGAAGUUGAGGUAUACACUCGCCAGCCCUUUCUCCUCAGGAAAUCUGGAGGAAACCCAUCUGAAGCUACGGAUUUAGCAGCAAAAUCUCCCCGUUUACGGUGUUGAAUCUCAAAUUGCUGAUAAAUGUUUCUUGGGUCCAAAGGUUGCGGUUUUAAAUCAGAUAUACGGGUGCAGAAACAGCAUGUUUUCAUAUCCUCUUCCUUGGAGUUUAUGUAAGCUUCCCUGAAAGCCAAUAUGAGUGUGGAUUUAUUAAGAAUUGGCUAAUUAAAACGAGCGAGAAAAAAAAAAGGAAAUGUUUGCGCCCAUUUUCUUAAUCCAGAAACGCAGCGGUGAUUCAUAUGUUAGGUUCCCAGCUGACGCAAUCUUUCCAUGUUGUUUGAGAUCUUGAAUUGAUUUCAAAGAUAUAGAGGAUAUGGGAAAAAAAAAAAGCAAAAGAAAAACAAAACAAGGUGAAGUUGGAGGUAGAGCACACACAUACCCUUUAUGCUUCCCUUUUCUCUCAACCACGUAGUAUUGAUUGGAAGAUAAUGGCUGAUUGAGAACAGGAGUGAAAAGAACACGGUUCGUAUGAACGUGUUGAUUCUCCCCAGUUUGCUGCGUAUACGUAACCAUCAAGUUCUUGUUUUGAGGAAAAGGCAGGCCCCAGCUUACUCGAUCACUCUUGAACAAUCCACAACAGAAGGUAGGCACUGCAACUUCUUCAUCCUGGAUUACCAAUACACCAGAAUUUGGACCCUCGGGAGGCGGUGAUGAAAGAGCUGAAGGAUCUCUUAGAUACAUCGAAAGAGGCCUUGUCACAUACAUUUCCUCUCAAACUUUUCUCUGCGUAUAGUGACCAAGCAAAAAUUCUUUAUCUUAUCCUUAAUUUCAAAUGUUGUUUUAGGAGUCAAAUCAUAAUUUGUCAAACUAUGGAGAAUUAAAAUGUAAUUUUUAUAUAUCAGGACCAAACUGAAAUUUUAUAAUUUUCAACCGUGAAACUACUUUAUCUAGAAUUUCUAGCAAAGAUUGUUCCAAAUUUCUUAGCCAUUCUUGCCCAUGACACAUCAAAGAAACAAAUCAACCUCAUGUUAUUAUCCCUAACAAAAUCAUUCAAAAUCAAUUAAUUUCAACAUUAACCCAUAUUAAUCAUCAAUUAUUGAAACUUAAAAACAUAAAUUUCAAAUAUUUAGAAACAUUAACACGUUAAAAAAAAAAAUGUAAUGAGCAACAAAAACAAAAAUCAUGUAUAUCAAAUUACGAUCUCAACACAAAAACGUAAUUUAUCCAUCACUCAUGAUCCUUUUUUUCUUUUCCUUCCUCCUCUUUUUCUUUUGGUUUUCUCCGUUUCUGGUUUCUUCUUCUUUUUUCUUUUUUUAUCUCUCUCUAUAUAUCAAUCUAUGUGAAACGACUGACGUGUCCCCAACCAUUACCAACCACAUAAGGUUGUUCAAAUCGCGAUUUUAACACGGCACGGAAAAUACAAAACAAACUCGGAUCGUAAAAACAGAUCGUAAAAUCGUAAGGAAUUUUAAAAUAUAUUAACAAAAAAUUCAUGAUUCAAAUAAAAAUUCAUACAUAUACUAUACAAUUAAUUUUUUCGUAAAAUCAUUCUAUCAUUCCAUUAAUAAAAUCAAUUUCAUCAUUCCAUCAUAUACUAAAAUAGCAUCUUAAAACCAUUCCAUCAUUCCACAAUGCCAUACAGACACAACUAAUUCAAUCCAAUCCAAUCCAAUAGUCCACAGUAUACUGUUCCAUCAAUUCCAUUUAAUUCAUUCCAUCAAUUCAAGGGACAGAAAAACAUUAUAAAUGGACAAAUUACAGGACCGGCAAAAUCAUUCCAUCAAAAAUGUAUAAACGCCUGAAGCAGAAAAAUUAUUUGAUUAACAAUUGUAGCUAUGAAUUCCAGCAAGGUUCAUACAACAUCUACUCUCCAUUAUGCUAAACUUCUCAAGAAAAGAAAAUUAUGACUAUAUAUGAAGGGUUAGCACUACAACUCAAAGAAUCUUGUAGAUAAAAGAAGAUGGAAAGCCUAAAGAAUGAACGAGCAGUACAAAUAAAAAAGUAUAUUAGUACUUGAUAUCAGGAUUUUAGACUAAUAAUUUGUCAUGAUCUACAUAAGUUUGCAGUAACAGUUUCUUCUAGGGAGAAGAAUCUGAUAGCCUGUCACAAAGACAUUUGCAAUGUAUCAUCAAGCAUUCCCCAGUUCUUUUGUCGUCACAGAUUCUUCACAACUUGUCACUGCAUCACUUUUCAUCAAACCGACAGUCCACGUAUCAAAAUUUUGAAUACAUCCUAGGAAACAAAAUUCAUCCCAGAGUUAAGGUCAAUACAAUAGCUAGGCAAAAUGGAACACGUUACAAUCUAACUUUGAUUUUGAUCCAAAUUUUCAUGGAAGUGAACAAAGUGGAAAAUUAAAGAUAAAUGGUUGUACCUUGAUUGCAUUAGUGCUCUCUAGUUCAGUGAUUUUACCAUCUUCUUCAUGAUUUUCAUGUAGUGGCUCUUCGUUUGCAGGCAUUAUAAUUUAUUUUUAUUUUUUUGAUUUACGUGGGUAUCCGGGCCAGCUUGCGCGCACCACGACUAAUUUCACGGCUCGCUGAACAUCCUGCAAACCCAGUGAGCAUGUAAGGCACUGCGGGAGUGACAGGCGUACACGCUGAGGCUUGAACCCAGGAUGCAGAGGUAAGGAAACUCCUUGCCACCGCUGGGCUACAAGCCUCGGUGUCAGGCAUUAUAAUUUCAUUCCACCACUGGUUGAUCUUCGUCAUGUUGUUCCUCAUUUUCUUCAGCCACUAUUAUUAAACACCAAUUCCAAAAUUUUCAUUAUAAUUAGACCCAAUUAUCUUAAAGAACAAUUAAAAUUACACUACAAGAUUUAACAGUUUUACCGAUGAAAUUUUUCCGUCGGCGUAAUUAAGACACAUAUUCCAUCGGUAAUUAAUUUACCGACGAAAUCACCGACGAAAAUUCUCCGUCGGUGAAUUUUUGUCCGUCGGUAAAUCCGUUGGUAAUAAAAAAAAUAUUAUUACCGAUGGAUUUACUGGCGGAAUAGACGCGUCAGUAAAAAUAUUUUUUUAUUACCGACGGAAAGUUCCGUCGGUAAUUAUUUAAAAACAUUUUAAAAAAAAUUCAUUUUAUAAAAUUAUAAAAUAAUUAAAUUAACAUAAAUCAACAUUGCAUAAUAUAUACUCAAAAUGCUUGGGAAAAAAAAAGAAUAAGAAAAUCAACUCAAACAAAUUUGCAACAAAUAAAUAAAACAAAAGAAUUAAUUCAACUAAAAAAAAUCAUAUGAAAAAAAUGAAGUUCCAAUUGCUAAAAAUUUAAAAAUCCUAUAAAUAAAUCAACUAAAAAUUGAUCUCAUAUGAAAAAAAAAUCUCACAACAACAUUUAUACAAUUAUUAAGAACAAAAUCAAUUAAAAUAAAAAAAAACAAAUAUAGUGAAAAAAUCAUGAAAAAUAAGAAAAAAGAAAAAUCUUACCUUAAUGUACUUGCAAGUGAAGCUAAGGAAUUGUAAAGCAUAUUAAUUAAAAAAAAACUAAGAGGAUAAAAGAAGAAAGAAGAAGAAGACAUACCCGAGCAUGGAGGAAAAGAGAAGGAGAUGAGGAGAGAAAGAAGAAAAAGAAAUAGAUAUUGAUGUUUUUUACAUAUAGUGAAGAAGAAGAAGUAGAAGAAGAAGAAGAAGAAAUAAUGAGUCUGUCUCUUGUGAAAUAAGCGGAUUCAGGUUUUUUAUUGGGGCGCGUUACCGACGGAUUUACCGAGAAUAAUUGAAUAUUAAUAUUUUUUAAUUAUUCCAUUUAAUUUCGUAAAAAGUUUUCAGAAACCGCCAAAAAUUACCGACGAUUUUUCAAUCCGUCGGUGAUUCCGUCUGUAAUAUUUAAAUGAAAAUUUUAAAUCAAUUGAAUUUUUUCAGAAAACCGCCAAAUAACACCGACGAUUUUCAAUCCGUCGGUGAUUUUGUCCGUAAAGAAAACAAUUAACAGUGCAAUUGGAAGUGAACAGUUCUGGAGCUCUCUGGAAAAUACCGACGGAAAUUCCGUCGUAAUUCCCUUUGUAAUUGACAUGAUGAACAAUGUUCACAGUUUACCAACGGAUUUACCAAAUUACCGACGGAAAAUUCGUCGGUAAUUCGUUGGUAAAAAAUGACACGUAUCAUUUUUUUUGCUUUGUUUUAAUUUUUUUUCCCACGGUAAUUCCCUCGGUAUUUCCAUUUGUAUUUAUUGAUUUUCUGGUAGUGUUAACCCAAGAAUCCAAAAAAGUAAAAAAAAAUUAAUAAUAAUAAUAAUAAAAAAAACCACAUAUCUGCUUCUCUAUAAGUAUUUUAGAAAACCAUUUUAAUACUUCGGUGUGAGCUUACAACCAUCAAGCCUUAGACUGUUGAAGCAGUAAAUGGAGGGACAAUGAUUUGUUCUUCUCCACGUAAGGAUUUCAGGUCGACGAUGCAGGGAGUAAAAACCAGAGGCGAAAAAGAAAAAACAAAGCUUGGGAAUAAAUUCUUACCUUAUUCUCGAUAGCAAGCAAAACAAGAGGCACUGAGAGAGUGGAGAGUGAAAAGUGGAGAUUGGGGAUAAUUAGAUUCAGAAUUUCAAAUCUUAAAUAUUUAGCAGACAAUUAGUAAAAAUGGAGAGUAAAGAGUACUGCGAACAGGGAAAGGGAGGGGGUGGGGAAGGGAAAGGGGAAACUGGGGAAGGGGAAAGGGCAACGGGAAAGGGUGGAGGCGCUGCAACUGUUUUAUAUUUCACGUGAAAUCGUGAAAUCGGUUCGUGUUUAAUGUUUUUUCCGAGUUAGACUGAUUUUAUACAAGUUUGACCGGGUUUGACCGAUUUUACUGGUUUUUCAAGUUUUAAAUCCGAUUUUGCACGUUUUAUAUGUUUUGACUCGUAAAAUGGUAUGAUUUUACGAGUUAAAACGUGAUUUUGAUAAUCUUGCAACCACAGCCAUGCACAUAAGGGCAAUACCGUCUGUUUAUCCAAACUUACAUAAGCAUGCAUGAUUAAUAAGAAACUGGUCCCUAGUUAACUUCCAUAAAUGAUGAAGCUUUUCAGACACGAAGAUUCGUGAGAUUUCAUAAACAUUUGAAGACAUGAUGGAGCUCGUUAAUUUCUGGAUAUCAAGUAGCUCAAAAAUUCUGUUCGGGGAGUUGAAACAAAACGGCAAUCUUCCAUGCAAGUCAGAAAAGGUAUAGCGGGUUAACAAAAAAACUGAUGCUUAUAGCUACAUGAACCAAUCAAAACUUUUAAGGAGCAUAAAAGACUGUUCAAUCAUUCUCAGAUUGGCCUCAUAUUCCGACAUCUAUCAUGCAUGUAUAAUGUAUCGAGAGAGACCGAAGAGUUAGUAUUGUCAAUUAAAACCUAUUAUGAGGUUUGAUGCAAGCUUUGUGUCUGUCAAGAGCUUACAUUCAGCAGAACUAGACAUGCUAUUUGUGAAAGAUUGAACCUGCAGAGUUAGCUGUUGGAUAGUUUCCUUUCACUUUGAUUUAUUAUUUUUUUUGUAAGGUCCUUUGGCCUUCAAUUUUUGGAUGUUGCAGAUAAUUUUGUUUUCACAUCAGUCCAAUCACUGAAAAUUGAUUCAUUCCUUGAAAUGAUAAUUCUCAAUUCUCUAUAAAGGAUCUAGUCAUUUCCUCUUCCUUCCUUCCCUUUUCCUUGCCGAAAUCAUGUUUUUGUUAUUAGGCAUGGGAUGUUUCUUAAAGCAUUAUUUAUCCCAUUGUCUCAAUCUUCUCGUGUAUAUAUAGAGAGAUAAGGAAGAUAUCAAUCUGAAAAGUCAAUAGCACAGACAAUUUAGACAAGUAAUAAGAAUCCUACAAGAGGAAAAGUAGAUCAAAAGGUUCUGCAAUGUUGAUACUUGGUCAAACCGGUUGAUUUGUUAUAUUUAGUUUUAAAAAUGUACAAUAUUUGUCGCCAACAGUGCAGCUUUGGAUUUUGGAAUAUUGAUUCUUCCAGCCAAAAAACUAGGUUAUCUUAUUAGCUUAAUCGUUAUCUUAUUAGUGGGGGCAGAGGAAGAAUAUUAUGAUCAUCCGUGCCCAAUCGUUAUCUUAUUAGCUUUGAAAUCCGUGUCAUUGUGCAAUUUUAAUCAAUUUAUUAGCUCAACCUAUAAUUUCAAAAUAGUUUAUUCACUGCAAUCGCUUGAAUUAUAAAAAAAAAAAAAAAAAAAAAAAAACAUCAAGGCAGACCAAAGGGUUUUUUUGGUGUGCAGUAAUGCAGUUUUGUAAUGUUUUUCAAAGACAUUUUUUAUAUCUUUUAAUUUUUAACCUUAACACAUCAAAUUAAUUAAAAAUAUUAAAUAAAUAUUUUUUAAAAUAAAAAUAAUUUAAAAAAACUACUACAACCACGGUAUCAUAGAUAGGCUAACACUACACAUCUUAUAACUGAAAUGGUACCACGUGUAACAUAUGAAUACAGCAAAAGAGAGGAAAAACAUAAAACAUUCUCAUUCUUCCCAGUACAUUAAAUCCCUCAACCAACACAUAGCAUCCAGAUUUCCUCUCUCUACCAAUCCCACUUGCUCACAAAUUGUUAAAAAUAAAACCAUCUGCUCCUUGUUUUUUUUAUUUAUAUAUAAUUCUAAUUGAUUAAAAAAAGUAAAAACGAGGCAUAUAUAUAUUUUAUAAUUCCCAUCCGCUUCUAAUGCGAUGAGGAUGCCUGAAAUCAUAGGUCAGCAAUAAGCUUCCAUCCAUUCUCUUCAAGGCAAACCUCUCAACCAAAACAUAGCAACCAAAUCUCCUCCACUUCCCCUUGCCAUCAAAAACCUCUUCUCUCUUCACCCUCACCUCCCUUUCAUCCCCGCUAGCACCCCCUACUCCUUGCACCCACUUCAUUCCCUCCACAAUCUCCAUUCUCAGUCCCACACUUGCUUCUGAUCCUGUCACUCUGUUGAAACUCCUGAACCACGUCACCCCAUCAACAACAUCCCUUUGGUCCGCCACAGCUUCUGUCCCACCAACUGUAACAACUUCACAUUCAACAGCAACAUCCACAGUUACAGUAUUGCCUUCAUUAUACAUAUCUUCACAAGCAAAGAUUUGCUCCCAUUGUUGCUCGAGUGUCAUCUCAUAAUAGGUUGAAUGUUUCAUUUGAUCUUUAAGAGCUGUCCCUUCCUUGAUAAACAUGAAAGGGCAAUACCACUUCCCCGCUACUACAGGCGGGGAACAUUUUUGUGACACUGGGAAGUUGAAGUCCGGGAGGCGGGCGCGGAGAGCUGUGUUAAGGCCUGGUGCUUCAUUUAGCUGGAACUCCUUUGAAGUUGAGGUAUACACUCGCCAGCCCUUUCUCCUCAGGAAAUCUGGAGGAAACCCAUCUGAAGCUACGGAUUUAGCAGCAAAAUCUCCCCGUUUACGGUGUUGAAUCUCAAAUUGCUGAUAAAUGUUUCUUGGGUCCAAAGGUUGCGGUUUUAAAUCAGAUAUACGGGUGCAGAAACAGCAUGUUUUCAUAUCCUCUUCCUUGGAGUUUAUGUAAGCUUCCCUGAAAGCCAAUAUGAGUGUGGAUUUAUUAAGAAUUGGCUAAUUAAAACGAGCGAGAAAAAAAAAAGGAAAUGUUUGCGCCCAUUUUCUUAAUCCAGAAACGCAGCGGUGAUUCAUAUGUUAGGUUCCCAGCUGACGCAAUCUUCCAUGUUGUUUGAGAUCUUGAAUUGAUUUCAAAGAUAUAGAGGAUAUGGGAAAAAAAAAAAGCAAAAGAAAAACAAAACAAGGUGAAGUUGGAGGUAGAGCACACACAUACCCUUUAUGCUUCCCUUUUCUCUCAACCACGUAGUAUUGAUUGGAAGAUAAUGGUGAUUGAGAACAGGAGUGAAAAGAACACGGUUCGUAUGAACGUGUUGAUUCUCCCCAGUUUGCUGCGUAUACGUAACCAUCAAGUUCUUGUUUUGAGGAAAAGGCAGGCCCCAGCUUACUCGAUCACUCUUGAACAAUCCACAACAGAAGGUAGGCACUGCAACUUCUUCAUCCUGGAUUACCAAUACACCAGAAUUUGGACCCUCGGAGGCGGUGAUGAAAGAGCUGAAGGAUCUCUUAGAUACAUCGAAGAGGCCUUGUCACAUACAUUUCCUCUCAAACUUUUCUCUGCGUAUAGUGACCAAGCAAAAAUUCUUUAUCUUAUCCUUAAUUUCAAAUUUGUUUUAGGAGUCAAAUCAUAAUUUGUCAAACUAUGGAGAAUUAAAAUGUAAUUUUAUAUAUCAGGACCAAACUGAAAUUUUAUAAUUUUCAACCGUGAAACUACUUUAUCUAGAAUUUCUAGCAAAGAUGUUCCAAAUUUCUUAGCCAUUCUUGCCCAUGACACAUCAAAGAAACAAAUCAACCUCAUGUUAUUAUCCCUAACAAAAUCAUUCAAAAUCAAUUAAUUCAACAUUAACCCAUAUUAAUCAUCAAUUAUUGAAACUUAAAACAUAAAUUUCAAAUAUUUAGAAACAUUAACACGUUAAAAAAAAAAUGUAAUGAGCAACAAAAACAAAAAUCAUGUAUAUCAAAUUACGAUCUCAACACAAAAACGUAAUUUAUCCAUCACCUCAUGAUCCUUUUUUCUUUUCCUUCCUCCUCUUUUUCUUUUGGUUUUCUCCGUUUCUGGUUUCUUCUUCUUUUUUCUUUUUUAUCUCUCUCUAUAUAUCAAUCUAUGUGAAACGACUGACGUGUCCCCAACCAUUACCAACCACAUAAGUUGUUCAAAUCGCGAUUUAACACGGCACGGAAAAUACAAAACAAACUCGGAUCGUAAAAACAGAUCGUAAAAUCGUAAGGAAUUUUAAAAUAUAUUAACAAAAAAUUCAUGAUUCAAAUAAAAAUUCAUACAUAUACUAUACAAUUAAUUUUUUCGUAAAAUCAUUCUAUCAUUCCAUUAAUAAAAUCAAUUUCAUCAUUCCAUCAUAUACUAAAAUAGCAUCUUAAAACCAUUCCAUCAUUCCACAAUGCCAUACAGACACAACUAAUUCAAUCCAAUCCAAUCCAAUAGUCCACAGUAUACUGUUCCAUCAAUUCCAUUUAAUUCAUUCCAUCAAUUCAAGGGACAGAAAAACAUUAUAAAUGGACAAAUUACAGGACCGGCAAAAUCAUUCCAUCAAAAAUGUAUAAACGCCUGAAGCAGAAAAAUUAUUUGAUUAACAAUUGUAGCUAUGAAUUCCAGCAAGGUUCAUACAACAUCUACUCUCCAUUAUGCUAAACUUCUCAAGAAAAGAAAAUUAUGACUAUAUAUGAAGGGUUAGCACUACAACUCAAAGAAUCUUGUAGAUAAAAGAAGAUGGAAAGCCUAAAGAAUGAACGAGCAGUACAAAUAAAAAAGUAUAUUAGUACUUGAUAUCAGGAUUUUAGACUAAUAAUUUGUCAUGAUCUACAUAAGUUUGCAGUAACAGUUUCUUCUAGGGAGAAGAAUCUGAUAGCCUGUCACAAAGACAUUUGCAAUGUAUCAUCAAGCAUUCCCCAGUUCUUUUGUCGUCACAGAUUCUUCACAACUUGUCACUGCAUCACUUUUCAUCAAACCGACAGUCCACGUAUCAAAAUUUUGAAUACAUCCUAGGAAACAAAAUUCAUCCCAGAGUUAAGGUCAAUACAAUAGCUAGGCAAAAUGGAACACGUUACAAUCUAACUUUGAUUUUGAUCCAAAUUUUCAUGGAAGUGAACAAAGUGGAAAAUUAAAGAUAAAUGGUUGUACCUUGAUUGCAUUAGUGCUCUCUAGUUCAGUGAUUUUACCAUCUUCUUCAUGAUUUUCAUGUAGUGGCUCUUCGUUUGCAGGCAUUAUAAUUUAUUUUUAUUUUUUUGAUUUACGUGGGUAUCCGGGCCAGCUUGCGCGCACCACGACUAAUUUCACGGCUCGCUGAACAUCCUGCAAACCCAGUGAGCAUGUAAGGCACUGCGGGAGUGACAGGCGUACACGCUGAGGCUUGAACCCAGGAUGCAGAGGUAAGGAAACUCCUUGCCACCGCUGGGCUACAAGCCUCGGUGUCAGGCAUUAUAAUUUCAUUCCACCACUGGUUGAUCUUCGUCAUGUUGUUCCUCAUUUUCUUCAGCCACUAUUAUUAAACACCAAUUCCAAAAUUUUCAUUAUAAUUAGACCCAAUUAUCUUAAAGAACAAUUAAAAUUACACUACAAGAUUUAACAGUUUUACCGAUGAAAUUUUUCCGUCGGCGUAAGACACAUAUUCCAUCGGUAAUUAAUUUACCGACGAAAUCACCGACGAAAUUCUCCGUCGGUGAAUUUUUGUCCGUCGGUAAUCCGUUGGUAAUAAAAAAAUAUAUUACCGAUGGAUUUACUGGCGGAAGACGCGUCGGUAAAAAUAUUUUUUUAUUACCGACGGAAAUUCCGUCGGUAAUUAUUUAAAAACAUUUUAAAAAAAUUCAUUUUAUAAAAUUAUAAAAUAUAAAUUAACAUAAAUCAACAUUGUAUAAUAUAUACUCAAAAUGCUUGGAAAAAAGAAUAAGAAAAUCAACUCAAACAAAUUUGCAACAAAUAAAUAAAACAAAAAUUAAUUCAACUAAAAAAAUUCAUAUGAAAAAAAUGAAGUUGCAAUUGCUAAAAAUUUAAAAAUCCUAUAAAUAAAUCAACUAAAAAUUGAUCUCAUAUGAAAAAAAAAUCUCACAACAACAUUUAUACAAUUAUUAAGAACAAAAUCAAUUAAAAAUAAAUAAAAAACAAAUAUAGUGAAAAAAUCAUGAAAAAAUAAGAAAAAAGAAAAAUCUUACCUUAAUGUACUUGCAAGUGAAGCUAAGGAAAAAAAUUUGUAAAGCAUAUUAAUUAAAAAAAACUAAGAGGAUAAAAGAAGAAAGAAGAAGAAGACAUACCCGAGCAUGGAGGAAAAGAGAAGGAGAUGAGGAGAGAAAAGAAGAAAAAAUAAUAUUGAUGUUUUUUACAUAUAGUGAAGAAGAAGAAGUAGAAGAAGAAGAAGAAGAAAUAAUGAGUCUGUCUCUUGUGAAAUAAGCGGAUUCAGGUUUUUUAUUGGGGCGCGUUACCGACGGAUUUACCGAAUAAUUGAAUAUUAAUAUUUUUUUAAUUAUUCCAUCUGUAAUUUCGUAAAAAGUUUUCAGAAACCGCCAAAAAUUACCGACGAUUUUUCAAUCCGUCGGUGAUUCCGUCUGUAAUAUUUAAAUGAAAAUUUUAAAUCAAUUGAAUUUUUUCAGAAAACCGCCAAAUAACACCCAGAUUUUCAAUCCGUCGGUGAUUUUGUCCGUAAAGAACAACAAUUAACAGUGCAAUUGGAAGGUGAACAGUUCUGGAGCUCUCUGGAAAAUACCGACGAAAAUUCCGUCGGUAAUUCCCUUUGUAAUUGACAUGAUGAACAUGUUCACAGUUUACCAACGGAUUUACCAAAUUACCGACGGAAAAUUUCGUCGGUAAUUCUGUUGGUAAAAAAUGACACGUUAUCAUUUUUUUUGCUUUGUUUUAAUUUUUUUUCCCACGGUAAUUCCCUCGGUAUUUCCAUUUGUAUUUAUUGAUUUUCUGGUAGUGUUAACCCAAGAAUCCAAAAAAGUAAAAAAAAAUUAAUAAUAAUAAUAAAUAAAAAAACCACAUAUCUGCUUCUCUAUAAGUAUUUUAGAAAACCAUUUUAAUACUUCGGUGUGAGCUUACAACCAUCAAGCCUUAGACUGUUGAAGCAGUAAAUGGAGGGACAAUGAUUUGUUCUUCUCCACGUAAGGAUUUCAGGUCGACGAUGCAGGGAGUAAAACCAGAGGCGAAAAAGAAAAAACAAAGCUUGGGAAUAAAUUCUUACCUUAUUCUCGAUAGCAAGCAAAACAAGAGGCACUGAGAGAGUGGAGAGUGAAAAGUGGAGAUUGGGGAUAAUUAGAUUCAGAAUUUCAAAUCUUAAAUAUUUAGCAGACAAUUAGUAAAAAUGGAGAGUAAAGAGUACUGCGAACAGGGAAAGGGAGGGGUGGGGAAGGGAAAGGGGAAACUGGGGAAGGGGAAAGGGCAACGGGAAAGGGUGGAGGCGCUGCAACUGUUUUAUAUUUCACGUGAAAUCGUGAAAUCGGUUCGUGUUUAAUGUUUUUUCCGAGUUAGACUGAUUUUAUACAAGUUUGACCGGGUUUGACCGAUUUUACUGGUUUUCAAGUUUUAAAUCCGAUUUUGCACGUUUUAUAUGUUUUGACUCGUAAAAUGGUAUGAUUUUACGAGUUAAAACGUGAUUUUGAUAAUCUUGCAACCACAGCCAUGCACAUAAGGGCAAUACCGUCUGUUUAUCCAAACUUACAUAAGCAUGCAUGAUUAAUAAGAAACUGGUCCCUAGUUAACUUCCAUAAAUGAUGAAGCUUUUCAGACACGAAGAUUCGUGAGAUUUUCAUAAACAUUUGAAGACAUGAUGGAGCUCGUUAAUUUCUGGAUAUCAAGUAGCUCAAAAAUUCUGUUCGGGGAGUUGAAACAAAACGGCAAUCUUCCAUGCAAGUCAGAAAAGGUAUAGCGGGUUAACAAAAAAACUGAUGCUUAUAGCUACAUGAACCAAUCAAAACUUUUAAGGAGCAUAAAAGACUGUUCAAUCAUUCUCAGAUUGGCCUCAUAUUCCGACAUCUAUCAUGCAUGUAUAAUGUAUCGAGAGAGACCGAAGAGUUAGUAUUGUCAAUUAAAACCUAUUAUGAGGUUUGAUGCAAGCUUUGUGUCUGUCAAGAGCUUACAUUCAGCAGAACUAGACAUGCUAUUUGUGAAAGAUUGAACCUGCAGAGUUAGCUGUUGGAUAGUUUCCUUUCACUGUUUGAUUUAUUAUUUUUUUGUAAGGUCCUUUGGCCUUCAAUUUUUGGAUGUUGCAGAUAAUUUUGUUUUCACAUCAGUCCAAUCACUGAAAAUUGAUUCAUUCCUUGAAAUGAUAAUUCUCAAUUCUCUAUAAAGGAUCUAGUCCAUUUCCUCUUCCUUCCUUCCCUUUUCCUUGCCGAAAUCAUGUUUUUGUUAUUAGGCAUGGGAUGUUUCUUAAAGCAUUAUUUAUCCCAUUGUCUCAAUCUUCUCGUGUAUAUAUAGAGAGAUAAGGAAGAUAUCAAUCUGAAAAGUCAAUAGCACAGACAAUUUAGACAAGUAAUAAGAAUCCUACAAGAGGAAAAGUAGAUCAAAAGGUUCUGCAAUGUUGAUACUUGGUCAAACCGGUUGAUUUGUUAUAUUUAGUUUUAAAAAUGUACAAUAUUUGUCGCCAACAGUGCAGCUUUGGAUUUUGGAAUAUUGAUUCUUCCAGCCAAAAAUACUAGGUUAUCUUAUUAGCUUAAUCGUUAUCUUAUUAGUGGGGGCAGAGGAAGAAUAUUUAUGAUCAUCCGUGCCCAAUCGUUAUCUUAUUAGCUUUGAAAUCCGUGUCAUUGUGCAAUUUUAAUCAAUUUAUUAGCUCAACCUAUAAUUUCAAAAUAGUUUAUUCACUGCAAUCGCUUGAAUUUAUAAAAAAAAAAAAAAAAAAAAAAACAUCAAGGCAGACCAAAGGGUUUUUUUGGUGUGCAGUAAUGCAGUUUGUAAUGUUUUUCAAAGACAUUUUUUAUAUCUUUUAAUUUUUAACCUUAACACAUCAAAUUAAUUAAAAAUAUUAAAUAAAUAUUUUUAAAAUAAAAAUAAUUUAAAAAACUACUACAACCACGGUAUCAUAGAUAGGCUAACACUACACAUCUUAUAACUGAAAUGGUACCACGUGUAACAUAUGAAUACAGCAAAAGAGAGGAAAAACAUAAAACAUUCUCAUUCUUCCCAGUACAUUAAAUCCCUCAACCAACACAUAGCAUCCAGAUUUCCUCUCUCUACCAAUCCCACUUGCUCACAAAUUGUUAAAAAUAAAACCAUCUGCUCCUUGUUUUUUUUAUUUAUAUAUAAUUCUAAUUGAUUAAAAAAAGUAAAAACGAGGCAUAUAUAAUUUUAAUAAUUCCCAUCCGCUUCUAAUGCGAUGAGGAUGCCUGAAAUCAUAGGUCAGCAAUAAGCUUCCAUCCAUUCUCUUCAAGGCAAACCUCUCAACCAAAAUAGCAACCAAAUCUCCUCCACUUCCCCUUGCCAUCAAAAACCUCUUCUCUCUUCACCCUCACCUCCCUUUCAUCCCCGCUAGCACCCCCUACUCCUUGCACCCACUUCAUUCCCUCCACAAUCUCCAUUCUCAGUCCCACACUUGCUUCUGAUCCUGUCACUCUGUUGAAACUCCUGAACCACGUCACCCCAUCAACAACAUCCCUUUGGUCCGCCACAGCUUCUGUCCCACCAACUGUAACAACUUCACAUUCAACAGCAACAUCCACAGUUACAGUAUUGCCUUCAUUAUACAUAUCUUCACAAGCAAAGAUUUGCUCCCAUUGUUGCUCGAGUGUCAUCUCAUAAUAGGUUGAAUGUUUCAUUUGAUCUUUAAGAGCUGUCCCUUCCUUGAUAAACAUGAAAGGGCAAUACCACUUCCCCGCUACUACUACAGGCGGGGAACAUUUUUGUGACACUGGGAAGUUGAAGUCCGGGAGGCGGGCGCGGAGAGCUGUGUUAAGGCCUGGUGCUUCAUUUAGCUGGAACUCCUUUGAAGUUGAGGUAUACACUCGCCAGCCCUUUCUCCUCAGGAAAUCUGGAGGAAACCCAUCUGAAGCUACGGAUUUAGCAGCAAAAUCUCCCCGUUUACGGUGUUGAAUCUCAAAUUGCUGAUAAAUGUUUCUUGGGUCCAAAGGUUGCGGUUUUAAAUCAGAUAUACGGGUGCAGAAACAGCAUGUUUUCAUAUCCUCUUCCUUGGAGUUUAUGUAAGCUUCCCUGAAAGCCAAUAUGAGUGUGGAUUUAUUAAGAAUUGGCUAAUUAAAACGAGCGAGAAAAAAAAAAGGAAAUGUUUGCGCCCAUUUUCUUAAUCCAGAAACGCAGCGGUGAUUCAUAUGUUAGGUUCCCAGCUGACGCAAUCUUUCCAUGUUGUUUGAGAUCUUGAAUUGAUUUCAAAGAUAUAGAGGAUAUGGGAAAAAAAAAAAGCAAAAGAAAAACAAAACAAGGUGAAGUUGGAGGUAGAGCACACAC